rnacentral:lncRNA from 1 species
UUCUCCUGGUUUACUCAUUACAUAUUACAGUAAAGCACUUUACCUUCCUGCCAACAGGUCUGCAGUUUUCCGGAUACUGAGCUCUGCACUGCCACAGCCUGACUGGCUGGUUAACUCCUGCUGGGCCUGAGUGACUCCAGGCAGCAGCACUCUGCCGCACGCGGGCUACCUGCCGAGGAACAACACCUGCACAGCACUUUUAAUGAAAUGUCAUUUUUCACAACGAGAUGGAAAAUAAAGCGUCAAGGAUGGCAGCCUCAGUGACACGUCGCUUCCUUUGAUGCCCCGUCGCCUGCCAAGGCAAACAGGCCACCAGCACAUCACCAGAACGGUCUGAAUGAACUUUUCAAAAAAC